AGCGAACGCUGGCGGCAGGCCUAACACAUGCAAGUCGAACGAACCUUUCGGGGUUAGUGGCGGACGGGUGAGUAACACGUGGGAACGUGCCUUUAGGUUCGGAAUAACUCAGGGAAACUUGUGCUAAUACCGAAUGUGCCCUUCGGGGGAAAGAUUAAUCGCCUUUAGAGCGGCCCGCGUCGGAUUAGCUAGUUGGUUGAGGUAAUGGCUCACCAAGGCGACGAUCAGUAGCUGGUCUGAGAGGAUGAUCAGCCACAUUGGGACUGAGACACGGCCCAAACUCCUACGGGAGGCAGCAGUGGGGAAUCUUGCGAAAUGGGCGAAAGCCUGACGCAGCCAUGCCGCGUGAAUGAUGAAGGUCUUAGGAUUGUAAAAUUCUUUAACCGGGGACGAUAAUGACGGUACCCGGAGAAGAAGCCCCGGCUAACUUCGUG
rnacentral:rRNA from 1 species